GACGAACGCUGGCGGCGUGCUUAACACAUGCAAGUCGAACGGAAAGGCCCUGCUUUUGUGGGGUGCUCGAGUGGCGAACGGGUGAGUAACACGUGAGUAACCUGCCCUUGACUUUGGGAUAACUUCAGGAAACUGGGGCUAAUACCGGAUAGGAGCUCCUGCUGCAUGGUGGGGGUUGGAAAGUUUCGGCGGUUGGGGAUGGACUCGCGGCUUAUCAGCUUGUUGGUGGGGUAGUGGCUUACCAAGGCUUUGACGGGUAGCCGGCCUGAGAGGGUGACCGGCCACAUUGGGACUGGGAUACGGCCCAGACUCCUACGGGGGGCAGCAGUGGGGAAUAUUGCACAAUGGGCGGAAGCCUGAUGCAGCAACGCCGCGUGCGGGAUGACGGCCUUCGGGUGGUAAACCGCUUUCGCCUGUGACGAAGCGUGAGUGACGGUAAUGGGGAAAGAAGCACCGGCUAACUACGU
rnacentral:rRNA from 1 species